ACCAAUACAGGGGGCAAUUGAAGCGAUCUCUCUCCGUGCUAAGCAUUCAGUGGGGUUACUCAUUGACCCAGCACUUCGGCGUGGGACCGGCUCCUGGAAUCCCGGGAACGGCGGGACUUUUCCAAGCGGAACCACCGGCUCUUCCCCACCACCACCACCACCACCGCGGGGAGGAGCAUCCCCGCGGGCGGACAGACAGAGGGAGGGACGGACGGACGGCAGGAGGCGGCUCCCGGCCCGGGGGGGAGGAACUACAAGUCCCGUGAAGCCGCGCCGCCCGCCCGCGGGGCUAUAUAAGCGAGGAAUGGCCCGGCCCCGCAGUCGGAGCAUCCCUGCCCGCCGAGGCGCCGGUCCCGGCCCGUGGCCACCUGCGCGCCCGGCGCUGCUCCGCCACUGGUACCCGGCUCCGCGCCGGUGGAUAUGGAGGAUGCGGAUGAUGAUGCCGCUCCCGGAGCCCCUGGGAUGCGGGGGGAAGCGCCGUUGCCCGCCGGAGGAUCCAUGGUGAAGGCUCGGGGUUCAGUGACCUGAGAGGAGACAGCCAAGAUGCUACAGCACUGAUUGUGACCACAAGACCCAGGAGCACCCUCCUGAGGAUGGGUGCUUCAGCUGCAAACAUGGAGACAGGGACAGCAGGGACCAGCAGCUUGCCCUCAGCUCAUCCAGGGACCGAUGGAGCACCAGGAGCUGCAUUGAGCACCUUCAUCUAGUGCCCACCACCAAAACCAGCUGCCCCUGGACACUUGCUGGGCUCCACAUUCCCAGCCCAGUGAGGAGGGCUCCUCCUGGAGCUGACAUUGCUCCUGCCUCCCACAUGGAGCUAAAAGGACUUAAUGGCUGCUCUCCACUGGGAUUUGGAAAUCAUCUUUUUGGCUGGGAAGUGCUGGUGAUGGAUGGUGAAGUGCUCUUGGGUCAAACAGUAGCUCGAUGCUUUCCUCUGUGGAUGACCAAGUGCUUACCCAGUUCCAAAGAACCAACUAUGGAUUUUUUUCUCUUCUUUUACCCCUCUUCUCUUCUUUUUGAUGCCCUUUGGAGCUUUGGACUCUGUGAGGAUGCCUGCACCCAGCCUGCAGCAUGUGGCAUUCACCAAGUGCUGAUGCCUGUGGUGGAGGGGUGAAAGCCUUUGGAAGAGCCAUGGGGCAGAAGCUGAGCUGGUGAUCACAGUGCAUGGGGUUUAAAUCUGUUUGGCAGAGUCUCAUCUUGUGCCACGGGUGUUGGAUGGCCUCAGGGUGGGGGUCCUUCUACCACAGCCAGCCAAGCACCCUCAGCCCUGGCACAUCCCAUGUGGAGCCCAGUAGGGAAAACAUCAAGAUGGGGGAAAAUGUCACCUUCAGAAACAAUUAAACUCCUUAAUAAAACCCAUUGCCUCUGUGA